rnacentral:rRNA from 1 species
GAUGAACGCUGACAGCAUGCUUAACACAUGCAAGUCGAUGGGGAAGUGGUGCUUGCACCCUGGCAACCAUGGCGGACGGGUGAGUAACGCGUAAGGGACUUACCUGCAGGACUGGGAUAACAGGGGGAAACUCCUGGCAAGACCGGAUAAUGUCAUGGAGCUGCAUGGCUUUAUGAUGAAAGGAGACGCCUGCGGAGAGCCUUGCGUCCUAUUAGCUAGUUGGUGAGGUAAUGGCUCACCAAGGCGAAGAUAGGUAGCCGGCCUGGGAGGGUGGACGGCCACAAGGGGACUGAGAGACGGCCAUUACUCCUACGGGAGGCAGCAGUGGAGAAUAUUGGACAAUGGGGGCAACCCUGAUCCAGCAAUUCUGUGUGCACGAAGAAGGUUUUCGGAUUGUAAAGUGCUUUCAGCAGGGAAGAAGUAAGUGACGGUACCUGCAGAAGAAGCGACGGCUAAAUACGUG